GAGCCAUUUAUUGGAUUGUGGUGUAAGCGUGUGGCCCGUGGCAUAGGUAAAUCCGUGUCGCAUUUGUGGGUGAGGCGUGAUGCGUAGACCUUUGUGGUUGAUGUUGGUGAUCCUGUACUGUCGAGAAAAGCCUCUAGCGAGUGCAUAUAUGGCCCGUACCCAUAACCGACACAGGUGGUCAGGUAGAGAAUACUAAGGCGAUCGGGUGAACUGUGGUUAAGGAACUCGGCAAAUUGCCCCCGUAACUUCGGGAGAAGGGGGACCAUUGCUGGUGACCGACGUGGUUGAGCUGGUGGUGGUCGCAGAGAAUAGAGGGAAGCGACUGUUUAUUAAAAACACAGGUCCGUGCGAAAACGUGGAAGUUGAUGUAUACGGACUGACGCCUGCCCGGUGCUGGAAGGUUAAGAGGACCUGUUAGGGCAUUUUUUGUCCGAAGCGGAGAAUUUAAGCCCCAGUAAACGGCGGUGGUAACUAUAACCAUCCUAAGGUAGCGAAAUUCCUUGUCGGGUAAGUUCCGACCUGCACGAAUGGCGUAACGACUUCCCUGCUGUCUCAACCACAGGCCCGGUGAAAUUGCAGUACGAGUAAAGAUGCUCGUUACGCGCGGCAGGACGAAAAGACCCCGGGACCUUCACUAUAGCUUGGUAUUGGUGUUUGGUUCGGUUUGUGUAGGAUAGGUGGGAGACUGUGAAGUGGUCACGCUAGUGGUUGUGGAGUCGAAAGUUGAAAUACCACUCUGAUCGGAUUGAGCACCUUAACCUUGGCCCAUGAUCUGGGUUGGGGACAGUGCCUGGUGGGUAGUUUAACUGGGGCGGUUGCCUCCUAAAGUGUAACGGAGGCGCCCAAAGGUUCCCUCAGCCUGGUUGGCAAUCAGGUGGUGAGUGUAAGUGCACAAGGGAGCUUGACUGUGAGACUGACAGGUCGAGCAGGGACGAAAGUCGGGACUAGUGAUCCGGCACCUACUUGUGGAAGUGGUGUCGCUCAACGGAUAAAAGGUACCCCGGGGAUAACAGGCUGAUCUUCCCCAAGAGUCCAUAUCGACGGGAUGGUUUGGCACCUCGAUGUCGGCUCGUCGCAUCCUGGGGCUGGAGUAGGUCCCAAGGGUUGGGCUGUUCGCCCAUUAAAGCGGCACGCGAGCUGGGUUUAGAACGUCGUGAGACAGUUCGGUCUCUAUCCGCCGCGCGCGUUGAAACUUGAAGAAGGCUGUCCCUAGUACGAGAGGACCGGGACGGACGUACCUCUAGUGUGCCAGUUGUCACGCCAGUGGCAGGGCUGGUUGGCUACGUACGGGAGGGAUAACCGCUGAAAGCAUCUAAGCGGGAAGCCUGUUUUGAGAUGAGGUUUCUUUUGAGGUUCCCUCUAGACUAGGGGGUUGAUAGGCCAGAUCUGGAAGCGUAGUAAUGCGUUAAGGUGACUGGUACUAAUUUUACCGAGUAAUAACAGUGU
rnacentral:rRNA from 1 species